rnacentral:rRNA from 1 species
GACGAACGCUGGCGGCGUGCUUAACACAUGCAAGUCGAACGGAAAGGCCUGCUUUCCCUUGUGGAUUGCGGGUACUCGAGUGGCGAACGGGUGAGUAACACGUGAGUGAUCUGCCCCCAACUUGGGUAUAAGCCUGGGAAACUGGGUCUAAUUCCCGAUAGGACUGCAGGGUGGUGCCUGUGGUGGAAAACGAUUUUCUAGUGGUUGGGGAUGAGCUCGCGGCCUAUCAGCUUGUUGGUGGGGUAAUGGCCUACCAAGGCGGCGACGGGUAGCCGGCCUGAGAGGGUGGACGGCCACAUUGGGACUGAGAUACGGCCCAGACUCCUACGGGAGGCAGCAGUGGGGAAUAUUACACAAUGGGCGGAAGCCUGAUGCAGCGACGCCGCGUGGGGGAUGACGGCCUGCGGGUUGUAAACUCCUUUCGACCGCGAGGAAGCCACCUGGUUGGAAGGGUGGUGACGGUAGUGGUAGAAGAAGCACCGGCUAACUACGUG